rnacentral:tRNA from 1 species
CAAGAAGUAGUUUAAUAAGAAUAUCAGCUUUGGGUGUUGAUGGUAGGGAGGUAUUCCUUCUUCUUGA